rnacentral:tRNA from 1 species
GGGAAAGUGGCUCAAUGGUAGAGCACUUGCCUUUCAAGCAUGAGGUCCUGGAUUCGCUUCUUCA